rnacentral:rRNA from 1 species
UUGUCUCAAAGAUUAAGCCAUGCAUGUCUCAGUACAAGCCGCAUUAAGGUGAAACCGCGAAAGGCUCAUUAAAUCAGUUAUGGUUCCUUAGAUCGUACCCACAUUUACUUGGAUAACUGUGGUAAUUCUAGAGCUAAUACAUGCAAACACAGCUCCGACCGGAGACGGGAGGAGUGCUUUUAUUAGAUCAAAACCAAUCGGCGUCGGGCGCGUCCGCGCGCUCGUUCGCCGCUCAACCUGGUGACUCUGAAUAACUUACAGCUGAUCGCACGGUCUCGCACCGGCGACGCAUCUUUCAAAUGUCUGCCUUAUCAACUGUCGAUGGUAGGUUCUGCGCCUACCAUGGUCGUAACGGGUAACGGGGAAUCAGGGUUCGAUUCCGGAGAGGGAGCCUGAGAAACGGCUACCACAUCCAAGGAAGGCAGCAGGCGCGCAAAUUACCCACUCCCGGCACGGGGAGGUAGUGACGAAAAAUAACGAUACGGGACUCAUCCGAGGCCCCGUAAUCGGAAUGAGUACACUUUAAAUCCUUUAACGAGGAUCAAUUGGAGGGCAAGUCUGGUGCCAGCAGCCGCGGUAAUUCCAGUUCCAAUAGCGUAUAUUAAAGUUGUUGCGGUUAAAAAGCUCGUAGUUGAAUCUGUGUCUCGCGCUGUCGGUUCACCGCCCGCGGUGUCAAACUGGCACGCUCGCGAGACGUCCUGCCGGUGGGACGACGUCGACCGUGGCGCGGUGCCGCGAGGCUCUCGCGCCCGGCCGGCCAGUCCCGACUCACGAUCCUGUCGCGGUGCUCUUCGCUGAGUGUCGAGGCGGGCCGGCACGUUUACUUUGAACAAAUUAGAGUGCUCAAAGCAGGCUAAAACUUCGCCUGAAUACUGUGUGCAUGGAAUAAUGGAACAGGACCUCGGUUCUAUUUUGUUGGUUUUCGGAACCCCGAGGUAAUGAUUAAUAGGGACAGAUGGGGGCAUUCGUAUUGCGACGUUAGAGGUGAAAUUCUUGGACCGUCGCAAGACGGACAGAAGCGAAAGCAUUUGCCAAAAAUGUUUUCAUUAAUCAAGAACGAAAGUCAGAGGUUCGAAGGCGAUCAGAUACCGCCCUAGUUCUGACCAUAAACGAUGCCAGCUAGCGAUCCGCCGACGUUCCUCCGAUGACUCGGCGGGCAGCUUACGGGAAACCAAAGCUUUUGGGUUCCGGGGGAAGUAUGGUUGCAAAGCUGAAACUUAAAGGAAUUGACGGAAGGGCACCACCAGGAGUGGAGCCUGCGGCUUAAUUUGACUCAACACGGGAAACCUCACCAGGCCCGGACACCGGAAGGAUUGACAGAUUGAGAGCUCUUUCUUGAUUCGGUGGGUGGUGGUGCAUGGCCGUUCUUAGUUGGUGGAGCGAUUUGUCUGGUUAAUUCCGAUAACGAACGAGA